UACGUAGGGCGCAAGCGUUGUCCGGAUUCACUGGGGGUAAAGGGUGCGUAGGCGGGAGAGUAAGUCCGCGGUGAAAUCUCACGGCUCAACCGUGAAACUGCCGUUGAUACUGCUUUUCUUGAGUUCGGGAGAGGUUGAUGGAAUUCCAGGUGUAGCGGUGAAAUGCGUAGAUAUCUGGAAGAACACCAGUGGCGAAGGCGGUCAACUGGCCCGUAACUGACGCUGAGGCACGAAAGCGUGGGGAGCGAACAGG
rnacentral:rRNA from 1 species